rnacentral:rRNA from 1 species
AUGGCAGCAGUAUACCACAACAUUCAUCAAACUGCGCAGUGCGAUGUUAAUUCAGUUAUGAAGCUGAAAAUAGACAUUGCAUAUGGAAUUCGGGGACAAUUUGCUCAUGUCAGCAUUGCUUCUGGGCGCUCUGGCCAUGGAGAAAAAGUUUCCUGCUGUGGUAGAGAAGACGAGGAAUCGACGGAGUGCACUCUGACGGCUUGCAUCCGUUCUUCAUUCACGUCGGCGAAAAUUGCGACCCUCAUUCCGUUUUGUUGCUCGCUCUCGCCUGUCGACUCCUCGCCUUUGGUGGGAGUGCAACUGUUGAUGCGAUAG